GUGCUCACUUUGGCAGCACAUAUACUAAAAUUGGAACGAUACAGAGAAGAUUAGCAUGGCCCCUGCACAAGGAUGACAUGCAAAUUCGUGAAGCGUUCCAUAUUCUU
rnacentral:snRNA from 1 species